rnacentral:lncRNA from 1 species
GGCUCUAGUGAAUGGGAUUAGUGCACUUAUGAAAGAGAACCAGGAGAGCUCAGUAGCCCCAUACACCAUGAGAGGACAGGCAAGAGGGUGCCAUCUGUGACCUAGGGAACAGGUCCUCACUAGAUAAUGAACCUGCUUCUAGAACUACGAGGAAUGCAUUUCUGUUGUUGAUAAGGCAUUUUGUCACAGCAGCCAGAAAAGACCAAGAGAGUGGGCCUCCUGACCACGGGGCCAUGAUGGUCACCUUGUCGUUCCACACCAGGCACAGGGCCUGGUAUAUGGCAUUAGUUUUGGAAAAUAAACAAAGAAACUAUUGUAAGACAGUAGCUCCAAUGAUUAGUUAGAUGGGGAUUUACACUCUUCCUGCAGAAUGGCCUGCGGAUGUGUGGAGUUUCUCCUGUUUCUGUUUACAUGUUUUUCCUUGGCUCAAACUUCUUGAAUCAGAAAGCUACUUCCUUGGACUACACUAUUUUGGGUCCCCAUUGAACCACCUUUAUUUGGAAGAUUAAAUGGAAAGGGGAAUGAGGGAGCUUUCUGGAAAUACGAACAUUCUCGAGGUGUAUACAUUUGCCAAACCCAUCUCAUUGAAUAUUUAGAUUCUGUGCAUCUCACUGUAAGUAACUUUUCCUUUAAUAAAGAAUUCAUUGUGGAAAAACAAAAAUAAUUGCUUUUGUUGCUUUUUCAUCAGUCUAUCUGAAGAAAAUGUAUAUGGUCCUCCUACUCAAAUGCAUCUGCAGACCAGCAGGGAUCUUGUUAGAAAUGCAGACUCUCUGUCCCCACCUCUUGGCCAGAGAACCAGGAUCUGUGUUUUCAGUAAGAUUCCCAGGUGGUGCAUAUGCACGACAAAGUCUGAGAGGGGUGGGUAUGAGAAGGAUGUGAACUGGAGCCCUCAACAGGAGAGAGGAGGGACCUGCAGAUGACCCAGUGGCCAUGCUGGGAGAUCACCUGGCUCUUGCGCAUCAAGGAAGCAUUUCAGACCAAGAGGAUGGAGACUGUCAGGAUGUUCGGUAAAUACUUGUUAAGUCAAUGAGUUGGCAUUUGACUUGGGUUUUGAAAAAGA